UCCCAGGUGGCUCAGUGGGUAAAGAAUCUGCCUGCAAUUCAGGAGACCCAGGUUCAAUCCCUGGGUUGGGAU
rnacentral:tRNA from 1 species